AAGCUGUAAGCAAAGUCAAUAGAACCAUUCUUGGAAUCUUCUUGAUUGUCAUUAUCGGUUCCAUCUACACAGCACUUCGAGCAUGGUUAUUUUCUUCUGCAAGUGAAAGAAUCUUUGCUACAUUGCGAAAGAACCUGUUCACACACCUCAUCAAUCAAGAAAUAGCCUUCUUCGAUGUUACACGAACAGAAGAGCUUCUUAGCAGGCUUUCUGAAGAUACCCAAAUCAUUAAAAACAGAGCUGCAACUUCAAAUGUUUCCGAGAU